UACGUAGGGUGCAAGCGUUGUCCGGAAUUCUUGGGCGUAAAGAGCUCGUAGGCGGUCUGUUGCGUCGGCUGUGAAAACCCGGGGCUCAACCCCGGGCCUGCAGCCGAUACGGGCAGACUAGAGUUCGGCAGGGGAGACUGGAAUUCCUGGUGUAGCGGUGAAAUGCGCAGAUAUCAGGAGGAACACCGGUGGCGAAGGCGGGUCUCUGGGCCGAUACUGACGCUGAGGAGCGAAAGCGUGGGGAGCAAACAGG
rnacentral:rRNA from 1 species